AAAGAUGGAUUUGCCAGUGAAAAACAAAGAAAGGGGCGUAUCCAUCUGCUUUGCAAGAUCUUGCCAUCCAGUGUGCCCACAGCCACGCUCCCACGACUGUUGACCAUGCGUGCUGCUGAUCUCCACUCGUUGUACUCGGGACAGAACUGCUCUACCAGACAGGAGGGGUCAUCACUCUGCAAAUCAAGACUUCUGUUCCUGUCUCAAGCAGCACCUUGGUGUCAGUUUGAUUUCUGGCCUACAAGCUGCUCUGUUCCCUGCAGUCUGUCCUCAAACUUCUGCCUGUCACAGCUCUCUGCUCCAAAGGACGUUGGACUUGACCGCUUGGAGGCGUAAAAACCUCCUCCCCCCUUAGCAACACCACCAGCCCCCCCACAGUGAUUCAUCCUGCCACUGUCCAUGCAGCCCUGAAACCCAAGACUCCUCUCACACACCCCAUUCAGAGCUUCCUUUGACAACUGUCAGGGCAAAGGAAUUAUUGGAAUGGUCUUAAUUUUAGGCUUGAAUCAGACUCCUUCAGCGCCCUUAAGUUGUGUGUCAUUGGUGUAAGUUUAGACUGAGGACAGGUGGCCAUGCCCCUUAGAUGGUCAGCAGAUUCAAGGGGAGCUCAAGGAUACAAUACUAUUACCAUUAUCUAGUCACAAUAUAUUACUUUUAUAUUUUUUAUAUUUCUUGAAAAAAGGUUUAAAGGUUGUAUUGAUUAUCUUUGUCUUUGCUGUAUUCAAUUGAAUAUCGUUUGAACAGGUUUUGCAAAUUACUGAAUUCUGUUGUAAUGCACAUUUUACACAAUGUCCCAACUUUUUGGGAAACUUGAGGGUUUUUUUCUAUCAAAUAAACAA